GUGGAGUUCAGUCUCCCCUGGGCAGCGGGGCGGCUACAUUGCAGGACCAGAUUCCUCCUUAGAUGUGGACCUUGCUAUAAGGCAUUUCAAACAGCCACUACCUUUCAUACUGCCCUGGGGCAGGAGAAUUUCACACUAUUUCAGUUCUCCUUUGCUUGAUCAAUAUUCCCCCUUUUUAUUGGAUCUUAGGUCGUAUCGCAUGGAGACACUUUGUGCAUCCACCCCCUUUUUAAAUGACCCAGGAUAUCUUCCCUCCAAACCGACCUAGCAACAUUUUCUCGACGUCUCUUGGAGACAGACCGACCAUCCAUUGACCGACUGUAUUGCGACAUCUCUGCACUACCCUAGCCCUGAUGAAGAGGCGGUAUUUCCUAUGAGCCUCGAAAUGUUGGCACCACUGUCUGCACCCACGAGACAGUAUUGGAAGGGUUCCUUGUUGCACUUUUUUGUCGCUCUAAAUAAUAUACAAUUUCGAGUCAAUGUCUUAUCUUGAGUAAUGUAUACUUGUAGUGCCGUUUA